AGACCUGAGAGAACAGCAAAAACUCAACAAGAGAAUCCGUGUUUGGGACAAGCCCAGCCUGGGUAUUAACCCAUCUUCUUCUUGCUGGGUUAGAAGACACAAGAUUAAUGCCUGUCUGUGGGGGGUCCACACAGGAAAUCUCAAUUAGCCUGUAUUCAGGGUAAAGGUUCCCAUAUCAAAUUGCAGCUAGGACAUGAAAGGUUUUCAAUAAACAUAAUCUUGACAAAACAUUAUGGGCAAAAAUAAUGCAUUUGUAAAAGCUGUCAUAAUAUAUGUUUCAAGCACUUAGAAGACAUGACAAUAACAAAAUGAUGAAUUUAUUCUUCCUAAUUGGAAAAAAGAUUGAAAAACAAUCAGAAUGUCAUAAAACCUUCUUACCAGAUGGUAUUUACAACACAUCUGUGAUUGUACCAAUGAACCAGACAUAUCUUGUGGAGAUUUUCAGGACAAUAACUUCAAAUUAAUCUAAGGAAAUACACAUUAACCCAACUGGCCAGUUGAGAACAGAAAAUACAUGAGUGUUCGCUAGUAAUGAUGAUGAGUGGCUGACACUCAUUUAGAUUUAAUCUGUUCUGAUUCUGCUUACUCAUUCUUGGUCGGUACUGAACACAAGUUUUAAUUUUUUUGCAUUUCAUUUGAAUACAACAGAAACCAAAAUGUUUUUAAAUAUCAUGUUCUGGCUCCCAUAAUGUGUAUUGUCUUUUCUUUUCUGGUUCAAAGAUCAAAUGAACAGCUGGAACAUUGUAGUGUAACGUUAGCUGAUUCUGGAGCGUCAUGACUGAAUGGGGUCAAUGAAAACCUGCACUUUUGCAUCUGUUGCAGAACAAUACCACGUUCUCUGAGUGUAAAAUGACUCCCCUGCAGUGGUUGCAUUUUUCAGUACCAUCACUGUGUUUUGCAAAGCUGUGUCACACUGUUUAGCAUCCAUCUGGCCGCCAUACAGUAACCACUAUAAACGCAUAUUGAUACAUUCAUAAGUGGAGGUGUAGACUGAGCUUUACCAGCAUAAAGAAACCAAAGUUUGGUUCUUAUAAUCGUGUGCAUACUUCAAAUUUCCAACAAUAAAUUGUUACCCAGCUCUAUUGAUCUCAGUUGGUAACUGGCCAACAACCAUAGCUCUGUUUGUUUUAUUGGUAAUAUUGCAGCUAUCUCCUAUUGCGAUGCAUUUUAGGGAUAUGAUUAGUUAAACUCCUUCUAGUAAAUGAUACAGGUGUACAGAUAUUUCUGUAGGACGACAGUACCAUCUGAGAUAAACUGUUUAACACUAUAUUUGCAUCUUGUGGUUCAAUUUCCUGUCACCACGGUCAUUAGGCAUUUUGGAUGAAAGCAAAGUGAACAUAGCAGAGACGAUAUAAUCACAGAUGUUUUGAAAAUGACACAUCUCGGGGGGCUGAUUUUCAGGAGCGGCUGUCAGGUUUGGGGAAUCAGAUGUGUAACUGAUGGGGUUUGGGGUCUAGGUAGGGAUUGGGAAUGUUGGUGCUUGAACUCUGGGUUUGAGAUACCUUGAGGUGGGGACAUUGACAUUGGGCGGGGUUGGGUAGGGGUGCUAUCAGGGAGUCAUUUAGACCCCCGGCACCACAGUGGCAAAGCAGGAGGACGGGGUCACAGUGUGCUGACUCCACUCCAAGGGACAAAGGGGCUCUCUCUCUUCUUAGUGUCUUAAAGGGGAAAUCCACCCUGAAACAGAAACCACAUUCUCACUUUCAUUUUUCCUGGCCAGUUUUGGAAAAUACUGACAGCAUUAGACUGGAUACAGUAUUCCAUCUUCUGCAACAGUUAGUUGACAACAAAUAUAAGAAAGUACAACAUGAUAUAUUUCCUGAAAUGUUUCUCUCGCUUAAGUCUAAAUGUCAAAAAAAUGUUAAUGCUUUUUCAAAGUUUGACAGUUUGACUUAACAGUAAAGCUGUCCAGGCUUUAAGAGUUAACAUGUGGAUUCUGUUUUGAGGUUGGUGUCCCCUUUACUUUUAUAUUUGUGUCUCUUCAUAUAAUUUGGUAAUUUUUGAUUGGGUUACCUUGACACAUCUGUUUUUUUUCGCUUAUGUAUUUCAUUAAUUUCAGGAUAGCAAGUGACACCAUUUACUGUCAUAAAGGGUUGUGGUUUGCUGUCAAUUGUAUUUUUUUUAAGUUAUGUCUGUACAAACCAAUUUCUUUGCUGCAGUUACUCUUUGCAGCCCAUGUAUUGUAAAUCCUAAUUUGGUCUUGUUUUGUUUGAGAGGAACAAUUCUAUUAACUUACAUUGCCUUAAAUAUCAAGUCUGUUAACUGAAGUUCGCUGGCUGGAUAAAACGUGUUCUAGUUUUUACUGGUGCUUCGCUGUUAGUUUAUACUAGUCCAGACCUGUAUUCAUAAAGCCUCUGAGGACAGGAGCCAUCAGGCCGGAGAAGAAUUCCAUUUGGAGAUUGUAUCUUCUUAUAUUUGUUUGGUCCAUUUUAACUGAGCUUUUUCGUUUCGAUAGCCGGUUGGUUUAGGGCGGGGUGAAAGCUCACUCCAACUAUGAUGCGGACCAAACAACAAAACUCUGGUCUGCUUGAAAACGGGGGUCUUGGUUUGAGUUUGGUUUGGUUCACUUAAGUUGAGAAUACAAUCCAACCCAAAUUCAAGAAGUUAUCCAAAAAACAAGACAAUAACUUUCAAAUCCAUAACCUAUUAUAGCCCUACAUUACUUGUUAUCUGUGUGACAACACAUCAUCAUCAUCAUCUCUCUCUCUCUCUCUCUCUCUCUCUCUCUCUCUCAUCAGGUCCGCACUCUCCUUCACUUGCUGUCUUUUCAGCUGAUAAUUGUUCAUCUUUAUCUAAAAUAUUAGAAACACUGUAGCAGAACCAGAAAACCCAAGACGAAAUAAAUUUGGUGUUGCUCCAAUAUUUCUGAGACCAGAAGUGUUGGCGAGUUUCAGACAUUCUGUCCAAUAAACCGGGACUGUUUCGACCGUGUCACAUUUGUACUCAGUUCAAAGUGCAGUGUGAACGCUAACGGAACCCCAUGUAAAAUGCAACUUCAUCACUUAAUCGCAAAUGCUAUUGUGUAAUAAAAUUGUGAAAGUGCCCUAAGUCUUUAGCCUUAAAUGAAGAGUAUUACACCUUUAUUGCCAAUUGCUAAAAAAUCUGAGAUAAAUUAAAUUGUAUUAAACCUGUUGGUAUUUUAUAGCCUGACGUCAUUUAAUUCUUCUCCUCUGGGCUGUGAUUAUGGGACGUGUUUUAACCAAACCCGGAAAGAACAUGCCUCUGCACUCAACUGGAUAGACCAAUCAGAGCAACGGAGUUUGUGACGUAUGUCGAGCGACAUACAACUGUCAACAGAACUCAGCUGCUAGCUAAAGCUGAUGUUAGCUACUAGCCCCGGCAGUUUGGAAGACACUACUGACGUUACAUCCUCGUUACUGGCUUUACAGCAUCCAUACAUCCCUCGGAUGUAUCAUAAGAUAAUACCAGGGAUGUAUUAAUAGAACACAUGGUGAAUUACAACCAUUAGCUGUAUCCAUUAUUACAGCUACAGGACCUCGGGAGAACCAUCAUGUGAGCAUGCUCAGUGCAGGGCGACGUAGAACUCUUGUUCAAGGAUGGUUCCUGACCGAAGUUCCCGACCUCAAAUGUGGUGGGCGGGGUUAAAUUCGGCUGGCAUCCAGGCUAGGAAUUUUAGGGAAAUGGACUUAAUCUUUGUAAUCUAAAAUAGAAAAAGACAAAAUCCUUUUUAUUGUUUUGUUUGAAUCUAUCUAAUCUAACACAUAGUUGAAGUAGUUUAAACAUAAAAUCCCUGAUAACUUUUUAUACUAAGGUCAUUAAGAAAAUUUGGAUGGCCAGAUUGGCCGACAUAUUGUAAAUAUUGAAAUAGAAAAUAAUGGCUGUGGCUUUGUCUCCAAAUAGUUCAGUAUUUUCUCACAUCGGGAUUUGCCACACAUGUAUACGAUAUGCAAAUCCUUAGGAUUUUUCUUUAAGCUCACUAUUGAAGUCUUGAAACUCAAACGUGAAGUGAAUUCAGUUUCAAAUGAUCAACUGUGGGCUGGGAAUGAAUCUAGACAUUUGUUGAAAGAGACAGGCCCCUGGUCUUUACCAUGUAAAGUUUCAUGCAUUCUCAUAGUUCUACAUCUUUAUCACACCCCCUGCUAUCCUUUAUGAUCAGGUCUGUCGGUUCUGUUCUGAGAUAGAUUUAUGAAUACUAGUCUUAUUUGGACAACCUAGCAGACUUUGUGUAGGAAAAAUGACCGAAGCAUCAAGGCCACUGGCUUCGACAUGAUUCACCUUUAUGAAGAUGUGCUAUAACGCAGCUGUGAGGCUCUUUGUGCUUAACUGUCACUGUCAAAACUGAAGAUGCUACAAUAUUUUGUAUUACUGUUUGGUGUUUUUUUGUAGCACAAAACUACAUAAAGAGGACUCCGAGAGGGCAAAAUCCUUCUGUUUAACAAUGCAGAGUGAGCAUAAUUAUACUGUCUGUUAGCUCUGUAUUAAACUUUAUGUUUGAAUAUUACACUGUAAAAAUAUAAAACAUGGUUCUGAUCAUCAUUUAACGUCUGACCUCUCUCUUGUUAUUCUGUGUAUAAAUAAAUGUAAAAAUACAAAUGAUUUCUCGCCAAGCGUAAUGGUACGCAGCGAGACUCCUUUCAUCCGUUUACAUUUUACAGACCAUAUGAAUGUCAAAUGAAACACUUGUUGAAAAUCCAAAUCUAGAAAGAAAAAAACAUACAAUUUUGAUGUUGUUAAAUACUAUUAUUGCUAUCAAAAA